rnacentral:rRNA from 1 species
AUGAUGGGAAUCGAGACGGCCGCCGCGCUCCCGGACGACGUCGUCCUGGAGGUCCUUGUGCGCGUGGCCGACGUGGCCACGCUGUUUCGCUGCGCCGCGGUAUGCAAGCUGUGGCGCAGGCUCAUCGCCGACCGCUCCUUCCUCCGCCGCCGCUGGCCCGAGAACGCGCCCCACCCGUCCUUCUUCGCCGGCUUCUUCACCCGGCAGCGGUUACAUGGAAAAGAGGACGAGGAUCUGCUUGUCGGCGUAGACGAGGUCGCGGACCCCGACUCGCCGCCCGUAUUCAUCCCGGUUCGACUGUCGGCGGUCGGCCCCGGCCGCCGCCCCUUUCUCAGCCCACGCGCACCCGCAGGGCUUCUCAAUGGCGCGAAGCCGCUCACCUCGCGUGGUGGCCUCCUCCUCGUGCGCCUCGCUCCCCACGACAACCAUGGCCCUGUCAACCUGGCCGUGUGGGCCCCGUUGGCCGGCACCUGCGCUGUGCUUCCACCGCUAGUAUGCGAGCUGAACUGCCUCCUGGGCUACGCCCUUCUAACCAGCGAAGACUGUUGCUCGACGGACGGACACCGGACGGCGCCGCCGGAGGCGCCAAACUACUCAACAUUCUUCAGGGUUCUGGCCAUGGGCCUGGCCUGCGACAACGGCUAUCUACACUGCAGCUUGCACAGGUUCUCGUCCACCGAGCCGAGCUGGGCCGUCUCUACAAAGCGCUUGGGCGACAUGGGCGGGCACGGCCCCUGGACAUACGGGCAGAACGAUGCCGCCGUGCGCAGCGGUGGCAUGGUGCACUGGCUCUGUGACGACUGGUCGUCAGACAUCAAUGACUUGAUAAGCUAUGUCACAAUUGAUGCGCGCAGUGAUGAUGGUGAUGUCUCCUUAGCGAAGCUAUCUCUGCCGCUACCGGCGAUCAAACUCACCUUGGAAUAUUUUCAUAUGGCUGGCUUCAACGGGGCGCUCUCGUUAUUCUGUCUGCACAAGGAAGAAGAAGGCCUCCGGCUAGAGAUCUGGACACGGAGCAAGGGUACAGACUGGGACCUUGCCAGGGUGGUCGAGCUGAGACCACGGAUUGAGGGAGUGCUAUACUUGUUGCCUGGAGAAAAGAGUGGCACCUUGCUCAUCAACUCGUACAAGGAGGACAUGUAUGUUGCUUAUCUCGACACCGGCGCAGUGGAGAAAAUAACAAACGAAUUUCAUGGUGUGACUACGGAUGAUGCUGUUCCCAUGGAAAUAGAUUGGCCGUCUUUGUUCAUGUCUCGGCUUGGUGGACUGUGA